AAUCAACGCUGGCGGCGUGCCUAACACAUGCAAGUCGAACGAGAAGGUGACUUCGGUCACUGGAUAGUGGCGUCCGGGUGAGUAACACGUAGGUAAUCUACCUUCGGGUGGGGAAUAACGUCUCGAAAGAGACGCUAAUACCGCAUAAUGCAGCGGCACCUAAUGGUGAUUAGUUGUUAAAGCGGGGGAGUCUUCGGACCUCGCGCCUGAAGAGGAGCCUGCGGCAGAUAGCUAGUUGGUGAGGUAAUGGCUCACCAAGGCUUCGAUCUGUAGCUGGUCUGAGAGGACGGCCAGCCACACUGGCACUGACACACGGGCCAGACUCCUACGGGAGGCAGCAGUGGGGAAUUUUGGGCAAUGGGCGAAAGCCUGACCCAGCAACGCCGCGUGAAGGAGGAAAUCCUUCGGGAUGUAACUUACAUAAGUAAAGGGGAAGAAAGCUGCGGAUCGAAUAAGUCCGCAGUCCGACGGUACCUUACGUAAGCCACGGCUAACUACGU
rnacentral:rRNA from 1 species